AAUCAUUCGUUUUUUAAUUAAAAACUAGAAUGAAAGGUUAUACAUUCAAAUUUCUUUAUUAAUUUCUAAUUAAUAAUUUAUAUUAAAUAUAAAAAUAUACUUAUAAAAAAAAAAGACGACAAGACCCUAUUAAAUUUUACUUAUAGUUUAACUGGGGAAGUUUUUUAAUUAAAAUUUUUUAAAUUUAAUAAAUAAAAAUCUAAUAAAAUUAAAACUUUAACAAAUUACUAUAGGGAUAACAGCAUUAUAUUUUUUAAAAGUUCAUAUUAAAAAAAAUGAUUAUGACCUCGAUGUUGAAUUAUAUUUUCUAUAUUUAAUGCAAUAAUUAUAAAAGUAGAUCUGUUCGAUCUUUAAAAUAUUACAUGAUUUGAGUUCAAACCGGUGUAAACCAGGUUGGUUUCUAUCUUUUUAUAUAUUUUUCCAGUACGAAAGGACAAACAAAUUUUUAUUUUAAUAAAUUAGCAAAUAAAUGCAUUAGAUUUAGAAUCUAAAUAUAUUUAAUAAUUUUUUUUAUUAAUCCUUUAUUAUCUAUUAUAAUACUUUUAAUUUCAGUAGCAUUUUAUACAAUUUUAGAACGAAAAAUUUUAAGAUAUAUUCAAAUUCGAAAAGGACCAAAUAAAGUAGGAUUUUUAGGAAUUUUACAACCUUUUAGUGAUGCGAUUAAAUUAUUUAAUAAAAAUUUAAUUUCAUCAGAAAGAAUAAAUUUUAUAUUAUCAUAUUCAACACCAGCAUUAUCUCUAAUUUUAAGAAUAAUAAUUGUAUCUAUAUUACCAAUAUAUUUUUAUUCUUCAUUUGAUAAUAAAAAUAAUAUUUUAAUAUUUUUUGUAAUUUCAAGAUUAUCAGUAUAUUCUAUUUUAUCAAU
rnacentral:rRNA from 1 species